rnacentral:rRNA from 1 species
UUGAAGAGUUUGAUCAUGGCUCAGAUUGAACGCUGGCGGCAGGCCUAACACAUGCAAGUCGAGCGGUAGCACAGAGAGCUUGCUCUCGGGUGACGAGCGGCGGACGGGUGAGUAAUGUCUGGGAAACUGCCUGAUGGAGGGGGAUAACUACUGGAAACGGUAGCUAAUACCGCAUAACGUCGCAAGACCAAAGUGGGGGACCUUCGGGCCUCAUGCCAUCAGAUGUGCCCAGAUGGGAUUAGCUAGUAGGUGGGGUAACGGCUCACCUAGGCGACGAUCCCUAGCUGGUCUGAGAGGAUGACCAGCCACACUGGAACUGAGACACGGUCCAGACUCCUACGGGAGGCAGCAGUGGGGAAUAUUGCACAAUGGGCGCAAGCCUGAUGCAGCCAUGCCGCGUGUGUGAAGAAGGCCUUCGGGUUGUAAAGCACUUUCAGCGGGGAGGAAGGCGAUAAGGUUAAUAACCUUGUCGAUUGACGUUACCCGCAGAAGAAGCACCGGCUAACUCCGUGCCAGCAGCCGCGGUAAUACGGAGGGUGCAAGCGUUAAUCGGAAUUACUGGGCGUAAAGCGCACGCAGGCGGUCUGUCAAGUCGGAUGUGAAAUCCCCGGGCUCAACCUGGGAACUGCAUUCGAAACUGGCAGGCUAGAGUCUUGUAGAGGGGGGUAGAAUUCCAGGUGUAGCGGUGAAAUGCGUAGAGAUCUGGAGGAAUACCGGUGGCGAAGGCGGCCCCCUGGACAAAGACUGACGCUCAGGUGCGAAAGCGUGGGGAGCAAACAGGAUUAGAUACCCUGGUAGUCCACGCCGUAAACGAUGUCGAUUUGGAGGUUGUGCCCUUGAGGCGUGGCUUCCGGAGCUAACGCGUUAAAUCGACCGCCUGGGGAGUACGGCCGCAAGGUUAAAACUCAAAUGAAUUGACGGGGGCCCGCACAAGCGGUGGAGCAUGUGGUUUAAUUCGAUGCAACGCGAAGAACCUUACCUGGUCUUGACAUCCACAGAACUUAGCAGAGAUGCUUUGGUGCCUUCGGGAACUGUGAGACAGGUGCUGCAUGGCUGUCGUCAGCUCGUGUUGUGAAAUGUUGGGUUAAGUCCCGCAACGAGCGCAACCCUUAUCCUUUGUUGCCAGCGGUUAGGCCGGGAACUCAAAGGAGACUGCCAGUGAUAAACUGGAGGAAGGUGGGGAUGACGUCAAGUCAUCAUGGCCCUUACGACCAGGGCUACACACGUGCUACAAUGGCAUAUACAAAGAGAAGCGACCUCGCGAGAGCAAGCGGACCUCAUAAAGUAUGUCGUAGUCCGGAUUGGAGUCUGCAACUCGACUCCAUGAAGUCGGAAUCGCUAGUAAUCGUAGAUCAGAAUGCUACGGUGAAUACGUUCCCGGGCCUUGUACACACCGCCCGUCACACCAUGGGAGUGGGUUGCAAAAGAAGUAGGUAGCUUAACCUUCGGGAGGGCGCUUACCACUUUGUGAUUCAUGACUGGGGUGAAGUCGUAACAAGGUAACCGUAGGGGAACCUGCGGUUGGAUCACCUCCUU